CAGGAGAUGUUGUCUUUGUCUUUAUAUUUCAGUUUUUAUUUCUCAGAAACAGUCUUUGUUUGACAGUUUGUCAGUCGAGAGAAUAAUAUGCACUCUCUUUAUUGGCUUGGCACAACUUGGCCCAGAAUGAAAAACAGGUAGAGAGAAAAUUUAGAAGAGAGAAUAGACAGAGCAGGAGAGACAUGGCUGGGAAAUCACAAUCAAACCGUGAAUUAGAGUUUUCUUUAUUUGUUCAGUUUGUUCUCAGGUAGAGGCAAUAUGCACUCUUUAUUGCUUUAAUGGCUUGGCAUUUUUCAGCAGCAAGCCAAGAGUGAAAAACAGGUAGAGAGAAAAUUUAGAAGAGAGAACAGACAGAGCAGGAAAGACACGGCUGGGAAAUCCCAAUUAACCGUGAAUUAGAGUUUUCUUUGUUUGUUCAGUUUGUUCAUAGGUUGAGGCAAAAUAUGCACUCUUUAUUGCUUUAUUGGCUUGUGCAUUUUUCAGCAGCAAGCCAAAGAGUGAAAAACAGGUAGAGAGAAAAUUUAGCAGAGAGAACAGACAGAGCAGGAGAGACACGGCUUUGAAAUCAAACCGCAAUAAGAUUCUUGGUUUGGCAAAAUUUCUCACAAACCACAGGGUGAAAUACAGAUGGAAAGAAGGCAGAGACAACAGACAGAGCAGGAGAGACACGGUUUUGAAAUCAAACCGCAAUAAGAUUCUUGGUUUGGCAAAAUUUCUCACAAACCACAGGG